rnacentral:rRNA from 1 species
AACGCGAAGAACCUUACCUGGGUUUGACAUGGAUCGGGAGCGCUCAGAGAUGGGUGUGCCUCUUUUGGGGUCGGUUCACAGGUGGUGCAUGGCUGUCGUCAGCUCGUGUCGUGAGAUGUUGGGUUAAGUCCCGCAACGAGCGCAACCCUUGUUCACUGUUGCCAGCACGUUAUGGUGGGGACUCAGUGGAGACCGCCGGGGUCAACUCGGAGGAAGGUGGGGAUGACGUCAAGUCAUCAUGCCCCUUAUGUCCAGGGCUUCACGCAUGCUACAAUGGCUGGUACAGAGAGUGGCGAGCCUGUGAGGGUGAGCGAAUCUCGGAAAGCCGGUCUCAGUUCGGAUUGGGGUCUGCAACUCGACCUCAUGAAGUCGGAGUCGCUAGUAAUCGCAGAUCAGCAACGCUGCGGUGAAUACGUUCCCGGGUCUUGUACACACGC